AUACGGAGGAUGCGAGCGUUAUCCGGAUUUCUUGGGUUUAAAGGGUGCGUAGGCUGUGCGUUAAGUCAGGGGUGAAAUGCCGUCGCUCAACGACGGAGCUGCCCUUGAUACUGGCGUGCUGGAGUACGGAUGCCGUUGGAGGAAUGAGUGGUGUAGCGGUGAAAUGCUUAGAUUUCACACAGAACACCGAUUGCGAAGGCAUCUAACGAAUCCGUCACUGACGCUGAGGCACGAAAGCGUGGGGAUAGAACAGGAUUAGAUGCCCUGGUAUUGCACGCCGUAAACGAUGAUGACUAACCGUCGGCGAUAGCCAGCCGGUGGCCAAGCGAAAGCGAUAAGUCAUCCACCUGGGGAGUACGUCGGCAACGAUGAAACUCAAAUGAAUUGACGGGG
rnacentral:rRNA from 1 species